rnacentral:rRNA from 1 species
AGAGUUUGAUCCUGGCUCAGAACGAACGCUGGCGGCGUGGAUAAGACAUGCAAGUCGAGCGCUGAUUAUAGGGUAGCAAUAUUCUGUAGUUGGAGCGGCGCAAGGGUGCGUAACACGUGGGUAAUCUGCCAUGAAGUUUGGGAUAACUUGCUGAAAGGCGAGCUAAUACCGGAUGUAAAAAUUGGGAGGCAUCUUCCGAUUUUCAAAGCUGGGGACCGUAAGGCCUGGCGCUUCAUGAUGAGCCCGCGGCCUAUCAGCUAGUUGGUAAGGUAACGGCUUACCAAGGCUAAGACGGGUAGCUGGUCUGAGAGGACGACCAGCCACACUGGAACUGAGACACGGUCCAGACACCUACGGGUGGCAGCAGUCGAGAAUUUUUCACAAUGGGCGCAAGCCUGAUGGAGCGACGCCGCGUGGGGGAUGAAUGGCUUCGGCCCGUAAACCCCUGUCAUUUGCGAUCAAACCUUGUUAUUUAAAAGAUGACAAGCUGAUAGUAGCGAAAGAGGAAGGGACGGCUAACUCUGUGCCAGCAGCCGCGGUAAUACAGAGGUCCCAAGCGUUGUUCGGAUUCACUGGGCGUAAAGGGUGCGUAGGUGGCGAGGUAAGUCGGAUGUGAAAUCUCCGAGCUCAACUCGGAAAUGGCAUUGGAAACUACCUUGCUCGAGGGUCGGAGGGGGGACUGGAAUACUUGGUGUAGCAGUGAAAUGCGUAGAUAUCAAGUGGAACACCAGUGGCGAAGGCGAGUCCCUGGACGACUCCUGACACUGAGGCACGAAAGCUAGGGGAGCAAACAGGAUUAGAUACCCCGGUAGUCC